CUCGCUUACAUAAUUUGUUGCUCGUUGUAUGUUGCUCUUUGCUGUAAUCGUUAUGAUCUUUUUCCAGGCCUGCAAAUAUUCCAGAGGCGCGUCAUAGCUUCCGCUUUGCUUCCUCAGUACACGUGCAACAUUUGUCACAAGUCAUACAGGCGUCCCACAACUUUGUCCACCCACAUGAAGAGUCACACCGGCAAAACGACUUGUCAGUUAUGUCACAAAGUUUACUCGACGGUUGAUGGUUUAAGAUACCACAUGUUGGUCAAUCACAAAGGCGCCACAAAAAAUGUUCCAUAAUAUCCUACUCUCUUGGUUAGUCAUCCAGCUCUGAAUCGCGAAAAGUCCCAAAAAUUAAUUCAUUUUCACAUACAUUACCUAUUGUUACUCAGACAUACUCCAUCAUUGAACAUUUUAGAACUUAUUCAGAUCUUUUCUCUCUUCAAGAGCCGACUUUCGCAGAAAACUCGGAAGCUUCGAAACUGUUCACCUGUGAAAUCUGCGAUAAGGGCUACAAAUUCCGCACGGGUUUGUUGCAUCACAUGAAGCAACAUACUGGAGAGACUAUCUGCCAAUUUUGCCACAAGAAUUUCUCAAGAAUUUACGAUUUAAACCGGCAUAUUUUCUUCGUGCACGCCAACCGCACGAAAAGAACUUGAGGCAGUAAUCAAUCGCACAUCCAUCUACUGCCAAGCGGUAAGUGGACCGCGUUAAGCAGAAAGGAACCAAGCCACAUCAGCUAUU